UACGGGGGGAGCAAGCGUUGUUCGGAUUUACUGGGCGUAAAGGGCGCGUAGGCGGCGCAACAAGUCACUUGUGAAAUCUCCGGGCUUAACCCGGAGCGGCCAAGUGAUACUGUCGUGCUAGAGUGCGGAAGGGGCAACUGGAAUUCUCGGUGUAGCGGUGAAAUGCGUAGAUAUCGAGAGGAACACCUGCGGCGAAGGCGGGUUGCUGGGCCGACACUGACGCUGAUGCGCGAAAGCCAGGGGAGCGAACGGG
rnacentral:rRNA from 1 species